AGAAGUAUAGCUCAAGUGAUAGAGAACCUGCCUAACAAGUAUGAGGCCCUGAGUUCAAACCCCAGUACUUCCA
rnacentral:tRNA from 1 species